GUGGACAUAGUAUGCUGAAAUAGUUAAACAGAUCUGAACAUUUUAUCAAUAGGGAGAAAGAAGCUAAGCUUAUCAGCUAACACACUAUUCUAAGGAUAAAUUUCAGAACAUAAAAAAUAAACUUAUUUUGGAAUCUAAACUGAACCACAUCAAGCAGAAACAUUCAUGAAGAUUGCCAACAAUCAUAUUACGACCAUGCUUCUGUUAACAACCACGACUUAAUUCAAAUUUUAUUCAUUACUCCAAAAUAACAACCAAUACUCUCCUAUAAUACUGGCCCGACAUCAGAAAGCCAAUUAAGCUUUGAAUUAAUUCAAAUUUUAUUCAUUACUCCCAAAUAACAACCAAUACUCUCCUAUAAUACUGGCCCGACAUCAGAAAGCCAAUUAAGCUUCAUUUCUCAUGGUGUUUCAAACAACACUAACAUUAAGGAAAAGAAUUAAGAAGGAACCUAAAUAUGAACAAAAAACAGCCGACAAUUAACGCCUCGAGCAGUAGCAGAUUCAAGAUUCACGAACAAAUUCCGUUUUACCCAAAAGUUGGAAUCGACAACGAAAAUAUAGACCUUAAGAUUCGAUAUUUUAGACAGUAAUAGACAUUGGAAUCAAACCAUAGAACAUUUAACAAUAUCUGUAUUUUUUUCUCUGUUCUCAAACUAGUAACCAAAAAUGAAACAAAAGAAGAAAAGAGAAAUGUUUAAACCUUGACUCUCUGCUUUCAAUUUCCUUCGGGGAAAAAAAAUUCUCUCCAAUUUUUCUCCCUAAAAGAAAGAUCAUUUCUCUCUGAAAAUUUUUCUCUGCUCUACACAAGAAAUUCCCUCACCUUAUAUAAAUCCUCGGAUAUUCUUGAAGCUUCCUCCUUCCUCACCACGAAAUCCCCGAAUUUAUCCUCAAAAUCCGAAAGGACACCAACCCAGUCUCACACGGAAAGAAACUUGGACAAAUGGAAGGCAUGGAUAUGAUUUCUCACAUCCAACCACUUCCAUUUACCCGAGAUUCAUCCCUCGAAAUCAAGAGCGCGUGAAGAUGGUAAAAACACUAAAAAAAU
rnacentral:lncRNA from 1 species